UGGGGAAUAUUGCACAAUGGGCGCAAGCCUGAUGCAGCCAUGCCGCGCGUAUGAAGAAGGCCUUCGGGUUGUAAAGUACUUUCAGCGGGGAGGAAGGGAGUAAAGUUAAUACCUUUGCUCAUUGACGUUACUCGCAGAAGAAGCACCGGCUAACUCCGUGCCAGCAGCCGCGGUAAUACGGAGGGUGCAAGCGUUAAUCGGAAUCACUGGGCGUAAAGCGCACGCAGGCGGUUUGUUAAGUCAGAUGUGAAAUCCCCGGGCUCAACCUGGGAACUGCAUCUGUUACUGGCAAGCUUGAGACUCGUAGAGAGGGGUAGAAUUCCAGGUGUAGCGGUGAAAUGCGUAGAGAUCUGGGGGAAUACCGGUGGCGAAGGCGGCACCCUGGACGAAGACUGACGCUCAGGUGCGAAAGAGUGGGGAGCAAACAGG
rnacentral:rRNA from 1 species